rnacentral:rRNA from 1 species
UACGUAGGGUGCAAGCGUUGUCCGGAAUUAUUGGGCGUAAAGAGCUCGUAGGCGGCUUGUCGCGUCGGCUGUGAAAACCCGGGGCUCAACCCCGGGCCUGCAGUCGAUACGGGCAGGCUAGAGUCCGGCAGGGGAGACUGGAAUUCCUGGUGUAGCGGUGAAAUGCGCAGAUAUCAGGAGGAACACCGGUGGCGAAGGCGGGUCUCUGGGCCGACAUUGACGCUGAGGAGCGAAAGCGUGGGGAGCGAACAGG